AUUGAACGCUGGCGGCAGGCUUAACACAUGCAAGUCGAGCGGAGAUGAGGUGCUUGCACCUUAUCUUAGCGGCGGACGGGUGAGUAAUGCUUAGGAAUCUGCCUAUUAGUGGGGGACAACAUUCCGAAAGGAAUGCUAAUACCGCAUACGUCCUACGGGAGAAAGCAGGGGAUCUUCGGACCUUGCGCUAAUAGAUGAGCCUAAGUCGGAUUAGCUAGUUGGUGGGGUAAAGGCCUACCAAGGCGACGAUCUGUAGCGGGUCUGAGAGGAUGAUCCGCCACACUGGGACUGGGACACGGCCCAGACUCCUACGGGAGGCAGCAGUGGGGAAUAUUGGACAAUGGGGGGAACCCUGAUCCAGCCAUGCCGCGUGUGUGAAGAAGGCCUUAUGGUUGUAAAGCACUUUAAGCGAGGAGGAGGCUACUGAGACUAAUACUCUUGGAUGGUGGACGUUACUCGCAGAAUAAGCACCGGCUAACUCUGUGCCAGCAGCCGCGGUAAAAC
rnacentral:rRNA from 1 species